AGGGAUAUGGCGAAAUGGUAUCGCGUUGAUUUUGGGAGUCAAAGGAUGUAAGUUCAAAUCUUACUAUUCUGU
rnacentral:tRNA from 1 species